UGUGGGAUCAGUGGCSMACGGGUGAGUAACACGUGAGCAACCUGCCCCUGACUCUGGGAUAAGCGCUGGAAACGGCGUCUAAUACUGGAUAUGUGACGUGACCGCAUGGUCUGCGUCUGGAAAGAAUUUCGGUUGGGGAUGGGCUCGCGGCCUAUCAGCUUGUUGGUGAGGUAAUGGCUCACCAAGGCGUCGACGGGUAGCCGGCCUGAGAGGGUGACCGGCCACACUGGGACUGAGACACGGCCCAGACUCCUACGGGAGGCAGCAGUGGGGAAUAUUGCACAAUGGGCGCAAGCCUGAUGCAGCAACGCCGCGUGAGGGACGACGGCCUUCGGGUUGUAAACCUCUUUUAGCAGGGAAGAAGCGAAAGUGACGGUACCUGCAGAAAAAGCGCCGGCUAACUACGUGCCAGCAGCCGCGGUAAUACGUAGGGCGCAAGCGUUAUCCGGAAUUAUUGGGCGUAAAGAGCUCGUAGGCGGUUUGUCGCGUCUGCUGUGAAAUCCGGAGGCUCAACCUCCGGCCUGCAGUGGGUACGGGCAGACUAGAGUGCGGUAGGGGAGAUUGGAAUUCCUGGUGUAGCGGUGGAAUGCGCAGAUAUCAGGAGGAACACCGAUGGCGAAGGCAGAUCUCUGGGCCGUAACUGACGCUGAGGAGCGAAAGGGUGGGGAGCAAACAGGCUUAGAUACCCUGGUAGUCCACCCCGUAAACGUUGGGAACUAGUUGUGGGGUCCAUUCCACGGGAUUCCGUGACGCAGCUAACGCAUUAAGUUCCCCGCCUGGGGGAGUACGG
rnacentral:rRNA from 1 species